AUUGAACGCUGGCGGCAGGCCUAACACAUGCAAGUCGAAUGGUAACAGGAAACAGCUUGCUGUUUCGCUGACGAGUGGCGGACGGGUGAGUAAUGUCUGGGAAACUGCCUGAUGGAGGGGGAUAACUACUGGAAACGGUAGCUAAUACCGCAUAACGUCGCAAGACCAAAGAGGGGGACCUUCGGGCCUCUUGCCAUCAGAUGUGCCCAGAUGGGAUUAGCUAGUAGGUGGGGUAACGGCUCACCUAGGCGACGAUCCCUAGCUGGUCUGAGAGGAUGACCAGCCACACUGGAACUGAGACACGGUCCAGACUCCUACGGGAGGCAGCAGUGGGGAAUAUUGCACAAUGGGCGAAAGCCUGAUGCAGCCAUGCCGCGUGUAUGAAGAAGGCCUUCGGGUUGUAAAGUACUUUCAGCGGGGAGGAAGGGAGUAAAGUUAAUACCUUUGCUCAUUGACGUUACCCGCAGAAGAAGCACCGGCUAACUCCGUG
rnacentral:rRNA from 1 species